GAUGAACGCUAGCGAUAGGCUUAACACAUGCAAGUCGAGGGGCAGCACAAGGUAGCUUGCUAUCUGGGUGGCGACCGGCGCACGGGUGCGUAACGCGUAUGCAACUUGCCCUAUACAGGAGGAUAACCCGUCGAAAGACGGACUAAUACUGCGUAUGCUCACAACUUGGCAUCAAGUGGUGAGGAAAGAAAUUCGGUAUAGGAUAGGCAUGCGUCCCAUUAGCUUGUUGGUGAGGUAACGGCUCACCAAGGCAACGAUGGGUAGGGGAACUGAGAGGUUUAUCCCCCACACUGGUACUGAGGCACGGACCAGACUCCUACGGGAGGCAGCAGUGAGGAAUAUUGGUCAAUGGGCGCGAGCCUGAACCAGCCAAGUCGCGUGAAGGAUGACUGUCUUAUGGAUUGUAAACUUCUUUUAUACGGGAAUAACAAGAGUCACGUGUGACUCCCUGCAUGUACCGUAUGAAUAAGCAUCGGCUAACUCCGUG
rnacentral:rRNA from 1 species